rnacentral:rRNA from 1 species
GCAGUAGCCGCGGUAAUACGGAGGGUGCAAGCGUUAAUCGGAAUUACUGGGCGUAAAGCGCACGCAGGCGGUUUGUUAAGUCAGAUGUGAAAUCCCCGAGCUUAACUUGGGAACUGCAUUUGAAACUGGCAAGCUAGAGUCUUGUAGAGGGGGGUAGAAUUCCAGGUGUAGCGGUGAAAUGCGUAGAGAUCUGGAGGAAUACCGGUGGCGAAGGCGGCCCCCUGGACAAAGACUGACGCUCAGGUGCGAAAGCGUGGGGAGCAAACAGGAUUAGAUACCCGUGUAGUCCCUGUCUCUUAUAC